rnacentral:rRNA from 1 species
CCUACGGGUGGCAGCAGUGAGGAAUAUUGGUCAAUGGACGAGAGUCUGAACCAGCCAAGUAGCGUGAAGGAUGACUGCCCUAUGGGUUGUAAACUUCUUUUAUAUGGGAAUAAAAUGUUCCACGUGUGGGAUUUUGUAUGUACCAUAUGAAUAAGGAUCGGCUAACUCCGUGCCAGCAGCCGCGGUAAUACGGAGGAUCCGAGCGUUAUCCGGAUUUAUUGGGUUUAAAGGGAGCGUAGGUGGAGUGUUAAGUCAGUUGUGAAAGUUUGCGGCUCAACCGUAAAAUUGCAGUUGAAACUGGCAGUCUUGAGUACAGUAGAGGUGUGCGGAAUUCGUGGUGUAGCGGUGAAAUGCUUAGAUAUCACGAAGAACUCCGAUUGCGAAGGCAGUUCACUGGACUGCAACUGACACUGAGGCUCGAAAGUGUGGGUAUCAAACAGGAUUAGAUACCCGAGUAGUC